rnacentral:tRNA from 2 species
GCCUGAGUGGCGGAACGGCAGACGCAGGGGACUCAAAAUCCUCCGGUGGUGACACCGUGAGAGUUCGAAUCUCUCCUCAGGCACCA